UCUAAUAUGGCAGAUUAGUGCAAUGGACUUAAAUCCCAUAUAUAAAGAAUUCAACCCUUCUUUUAUUAGAA
rnacentral:tRNA from 1 species